rnacentral:rRNA from 1 species
AUACGAAGGGGGCUAGCGUUGUCCGGAUUUAUUGGGCGUAAAGCGAGCGCAGGCGGUUUUUUAAGUCUGAUGUGAAAGCCUUCGGCUUAACCGGAGAAGUGCAUCGGAAACUGGGAGACUUGAGUGCAGAAGAGGACAGUGGAACUCCAUGUGUAGCGGUGGAAUGCGUAGAUAUAUGGAAGAACACCAGUGGCGAAGGCGGCUGUCUGGUCUGUAACUGACGCUGAGGCUCGAAAGUAU